GAUGAACGCUGGCGGCGUGCCUAAUACAUGCAAGUCGAGCGAACAGACGAGGAGCUUGCUCCUCUGACGUUAGCGGCGGACGGGUGAGUAACACGUGGAUAACCUACCUAUAAGACUGGGAUAACUUCGGGAAACCGGAGCUAAUACCGGAUAAUAUAUUGAACCGCAUGGUUCAAUAGUGAAAGACGGUUUUGCUGGCACUUAUAGAUGGAUCCGCGCCGCAUUAGCUAGUUGGUAAGGUAACGGCUUACCAAGGCAACGAUGCGUAGCCGACCUGAGAGGGUGAUCGGCCACACUGGAACUGAGACACGGUCCAGACUCCUACGGGAGGCAGCAGUAGGGAAUCUUCCGCAAUGGGCGAAAGCCUGACGGAGCAACGCCGCGUGAGUGAUGAAGGUCUUCGGAUCGUAAAACUCUGUUAUUAGGGAAGAACAAAUGUGUAAGUAACUAUGCACGUCUUGACGGUAACUAAUCAGAAAGCCACGGCUAACUACGUG
rnacentral:rRNA from 1 species